CCCUACGGGACGCAGCAGUGGGGAAUAUUGCACAAUGGGGGGAACCCUGAUGCAGCGACGCCGCGUGAGUGAAGAAGUAUUUCGGUAUGUAAAGCUCUAUCAGCAGGGAAGAAAAUGACGGUACCUGACUAAGAAGCCCCGGCUAACUACGUGCCAGCAGCCGCGGUAAUACGUAGGGGGCAAGCGUUAUCCGGAUUUACUGGGUGUAAAGGGAGCGCAGACGGCUGUGCAAGUCUGAUGUGAAAGGUCGGGGCCCAACCCCGGGACUGCAUUGGAAACUGUUGAACUGGAGUACAGGAGAGGUA
rnacentral:rRNA from 1 species